rnacentral:lncRNA from 1 species
AUAAAAAUAUCCAACGAAUAGCUGCACUCACGGUGAUUAAAAAGCAAAAUUUAUUAGAAAUAGAUUAAAACAUCAAUGAUCAACGUUUCAGUCCGUCCAGGACUUUCCUCAGGAUCAAUAAAAAGAUCUUUUUAUUGAUCCUGAGGAAAGUCCUGGACGGACUGAAACGUUGAUCAUUGAUGUUUUAAUCUAUUUCUAAUAAAUUUUGCUUUUUAAUCACCGUGAGUGCAGCUAUUCGUUGGAUAUUUUUAUAUGGAUGGCUAUAUUUAGCUAGCACCCGGGACACAAGGACAUUUGGAGCGUGAGUGCAGGGGCUUCUUGUAUUUUUAUAUAUAUAUAUAUAUAUAUAUAUAUAUAUAUAUAUAGUUUUUUAAUAUGUAAUCCAAGGUUCUGCACACGCCUGUCACAAGUACUUGCCAAGGAACAAUCUCCAGCCUUGGGUAAACAAUGGACACAAAGGAGAGCUCUCACUGCACUUUCAACCAAAUUCAAAUAUUUAUUGUGAAUACAGUCAUAUUAUAUCAACGUUGUAAAGUCUAUAAAAGGCUUUCAUAAUUUCAUCAUUUUUCUGAUGACAGUCUUUAAUAGACUGAAACGUUGAUGUAAUGUUACUGAAUUCACAAUAAAUAUUCCAAUUUGGUUGAAAAGUCCAGUGAGAACUCUCCUUUGUGACCAUUUUUUAAAUCUGAUUUUUUUUAUAUAUAUAUAUUUUAAUACUUUGAAACAAUUAUUUUAAAAGUUUAUCCAAACAUAUUGAAUCAUUUUUGAAAAGCUUAUUCAAAAAUUUUAAAUCGAGGCCUUAGUGACUAAACUCCACAGUGUAUUUUUUUUUCUUGGAAAGAGGAGUUGAGAUAUUAAUUUUUAGUAAAAGGAACAUUAUAACGUUAGGAAUUCAAAUGUGCACUCCUAACGCUAUACUUCCCUAGCAACGUUUGGGUGACCUCCAGCUGAAAGGGUUAAACAGGUUAAACAGUUAAGUUACCUUUUCUUUGACUCAGCGCUAGUCUAUGGCAUUCUGUUCUGCCUGUUUUCUACGAUGAUCAUCCAGAUUGAACUAGUUUAGUAUUACUGCACUAUUUCAGCGAAAGCGCCUCUAGUGGCUGUCAGUAUGAUCAGCGUGGAUUUUACAAACCAACAGUUGGUUUGAAAGUAGUUUAAUAGAUGUUACAAAGUAUAUUAUUAAUGCUACAUUUCAUAAAAUUUGUUUGGGGUUGGCAGAAAAAACAUGUCCAUACUUAUCAGGUAGAUAACCCCUUAUGACUACAAUGUAUUAGUAAAUGUACAGUUUGUUUUAUUCCAACCCUUCUAAUUGGCUAUUCACAAGUUCGUAAGGUCGGAGAAUUGCCAGGUUAUUGAGGAGUUUAUACAAAAAUUGUAUCAACUGAAAAGGUUAAAAUUUUAACUUUGUGGAUUAAUUGACCUACUUGCAAAUGAUUAGACUAAAACAAAAAUAUACUUAGCAUAAUUAUGUUGAUUUGAAUAAUUUGUUGAGUGGUAGGUUUAACUUCACACUAGGCUUGGAGAUUUCUUUCGGUCCAAACAGCAAUUCACUCAAAUUUGGGCUGAUCAGGUGAUCAGUCGAAUUACUAAAUUCUGAACAGAAAUGUAGCCAAAUCACGAGCCAAAAGAAACGCACAAUGGUAGAGCAUGUUCGAUUUGGUUUAUGAUUCAGAAUUUGUGCGAAAGAUGCAAAAAAAGAUGAUUGAUUGUUAGUGAAUAGUCACUAAAUUUUAUUCACAAAUCAAGUGAGAUGUGGUUAAUAGUGGGAAAAAUUGAGUAGUUGUAAAAAAACCAAACAUAUAGAAACAUAGAAACAUAGAAUGUGACGGCUGAUAAGAACCAUUCGGCCCAUCUAGUCUGAUGGCAGAUAAGAACCAUUCGGCCCAUCUAGUCUGAUGGCAGAUAAGAACCAUUCGGCCCAUCUAGUCUGAUGGCAGAUAAGAACCAUUCGGCCCAUCUAGUCUAGCCCAAUAUAUUUCUAUAUUAUAUACUUAAUAAAUAUAUAAUAUAUAAAUAGUUAUUUUAUUACUCCUUUCAGCUUUUUUUUCUAUUGGUUACUUUUUUCUGAUUUUAUUUGUAAACCAAAUGGUUAUCAGUGUACUGCAAAUAUAUACAUAAUAUUAUAAUAUAUAAAUAUAUAUAUAUUUGAAAGACACUGAUUGGUUAAUUUGUGCACCCUUUUUGGUUAGCCGGAUUUGUUUCCCAAAUCGUUUUUUUCGGUACCCAAAUUCUACCAUAUGGCUGAAAUUUUGAGAAAAAUGGUUCAUCUGAAUUGAAUAUACUCAUUGUGCACAAGUCUAAUUUACACUUCUAGCAUUCACAUGGUUAAACUGAGCAUUAGUAAGCGCUACGGAAUCUGUUGGCGCUAUAUAAAUCGCAAUAAUAAUAAUAAUACAUUUAAUUACUAUGCCAAGCUAUCUCAUAUACUUUAUAAGUACAUUACUAGACAAUAUUUAAUCUUAUAUAUAUAUAUAUAUAUAUGUAUUGUCUUCACUUUUGCACUUAACAGUAAACAUGUUCCAGUAAUAUGUCUAUUGUGUACCUUAUUUCCACUUGACAUUCAUUUUUUUAUAUACCCUAGAGCAGGGAUGGGCAAAUGGUAGAUGCCCAGAUGUUGUAGAACUCCUACUUCUGUGAUGCUUCACCAUUCUGAAGGCUGGCAAAGCAUCAUGGUAUUUGUAGUUUGAAACAUCUUGGGUCCUGACUUUUACACAGCCCUGUCCUAGAGAUUGAAAUGUAUACUGAUGCAAAGAUGAAAACAUAGUAAAUUUUUGUAUAUCGGUACAAAAGACAAAACAUACUGAGGAAUUAUGAAUAACGAUGAAAAUGUUCUCAAUUAAUAAUUUGAUGAAGCAAAUAUUUACUUUUUAAGUGUGUAACACAGCAAUUACGGGUCAUCGUAAUUAUUCCUCAAAGCAUCAAUAAUGUCAUAAUGGAAUAUAUAGUAGAACUUUGAAACAAUAUCACAUACAUAUGUAAACAUUAUAGUACAUUUUACAGCUGCUAAGAGGCAAGAAAAAAAAAAAUCGAUUCUCUAUUCUGAUAGGCUGCGAUUUGCACCCAAUCAAAAUACAGUUGGAAUUUCAAUCAUGGUCAGUGACCAUAAAAUUAAAGUUAAUGAUCAACUCCAUACAUUUAAUUCACAGAUACAAACUUUGCAUAAGGUUCAAUUAAUGAUAUCACUGUCCAUUUAAAACAUGCCUUUCUCCCCUUCCAUCAUCUCCAAUAAUGUAUAUAAGUUCACUUGUGUUUUCCCUUGCAAUUAAAGAUUACAUUUAGCCCAUUGCAAGACAAAACACAUUUAGUUUAACUGGUGCAGAAUUAUAUUCUUUAGAGACAUACAUUUCUCUGCAGAAAAACAUAAAAUGGCAUUGGCCAACCCUUUUCUUCAAUAUUGACGUUUAUAUCCUGUUAUCAUUUUUCUGACGGUGCAUUGCUUAAAUUGCCAUUAAGUUUAUUAUUCAUACCCAUAUUAAUUUUUUUUUUUUUUACUUUGUUUUUUUAUAACAUCGUUUUUAUUACAUCAUACCCAUAUUAAAUAUUUUUCACUAAUUUUUUCAACACAUCUGUACACUAUAUGAAAAAAAAUGCAAUUUCUGCUUUUAUGCUAAUAUGUCAAAUGUUUUCCGAAAUAUAUAUUUUUAUUUUUUUAAGUUUUUGUAGUGAAGUUGUAAUUGUGGUUCUGUCACCAUAGUGGACUUUGCAUAUUUUGUGAUAGUGUUCUCUAACCUUGAAUAAAUAAAAAGUGCAUAGAACUAUUUAUGGAAGUUGGGCUAAAAAUGUUCAGAAGAUAUUUUUUAAAUUUACUUUUUGCAAACCCAUCUCUGAACUGAACCUCUGAAUUUGAACUUUUUAAACUUUUUAGAACUAAAAUAUUAUUUGUACUGAAAAGCAAAUUUAGACUAGUUUAAAGGAAAACGUCAACAUUAAAACUGAUAUACUGAUAUUAGCGUGUUCUUUUUGAAUUAUUAGUGCCAGACACUUAGCCUAAAUAAAAAAAUUAAAAAAUUAAAUAUUACCUUUUCAUUCAGUGCCAAAUCCUCUCACUGCUUUACACCAGACCAGGGCCAAUUUCAGUGACUACAGUCUUUCCUUCCGGUGAAAAUUUGUGCCUACGAACUGAUUGCCAUGAAUGUGUCAAUCAAAUCAGAUGAUUACCCAACAUAUUGCUUCUCGUAGGGAAGCAUAGAGCAAGGCUUCUCCAUAAAAGUGCUUUGUUUCUGCCUAAAACAUUGUUCAAAGUGGACUGAAUUAGUAAGCCUCCUGGGGUCUUCCUAAAUAGUUUGAAUCAAAACAUCUCUUGAAAUCUGCACUUUUAUGAAUUGGCUCAAGGGAGAAUGCAGCAAACUGAAGUGGUUUAGGGCUUUGGAGUUUCCUAUUAACCAAGCUGCGAAUGAAGGUGAUCUUGUCAUUAUUUCGGACUCUUCUAUUUUGAUCUAAAUUGAGAAAGAAAGAAUGUGUCUUUCAGGGCAUCACAGUUCAUUACAGUGUUUAAAUAUAUAAUGCUUUGUUAUUGUAAAAAAAAAAAAAUAUAGAAUAUCUAAUUUUUUUACUGUUUACUGCAUUAACACUUUUAUACAUUAGCAUAGCCUCUGUCGGUUGUCAUGUAAAUUAUACACAAAAAUACAUUUGUGUUGUUGCACAGCAAGAAAUGUUCUGCCUUGUGUAGUACAUAAAAAAAAAACUCAGCAGAUUAUACAAUAAGAUACUUCCACAAUAAGAUACUUGAGCAGUGUAAAGACUGUUACACAUUAAUGGUACACAAUUUUGUUAUUUAUUUGCUGUGUAUGUAUACAUGUAUAUGAAUGUAAAUUAUGUUUUGUAUAUACUAAUGGGAAUAGAAGCCUUUUUUACUCUAAAAUGUAAAUAUAGUUCAUUUAAAAUUUUGAACAUUAUUUGAAAUCAUUUAUUUUUAUUAUGCAAUAGCUACCUGUUUAUGUUUGUUUUAUUUUUUAUUCUUUGUUUUGAUGCCACAAUAAAGAUUGUAUAUCUGUGUAGUAAAA